UACAGAGGGGGCUAGCGUUGCUCGGAAUCACUGGGCGUAAAGCGCACGUAGGCGGCUUUUUAAGUCAGGGGUGAAAUCCUGGAGCUCAACUCCAGAACUGCCUUUGAUACUGAGAAGCUUGAGUCCGGGAGAGGUGAGUGGAACUGCGAGUGUAGAGGUGAAAUUCGUAGAUAUUCGCAAGAACACCAGUGGCGAAGGCGGCUCACUGGCCCGGUACUGACGCUGAGGCACGAAAGCGUGGGGAGCAAACAGG
rnacentral:rRNA from 1 species